rnacentral:lncRNA from 1 species
CCUGGGAACAUGUCAGUAGUUACGUUACAUUUGUUUUUCGUUUUGUUCCAGUGUGCUUGUGAAAAUAGCUUUAUCUUCAAUACUCCCAGAGUGGAAAGAUGAAGUUUCAGGGAGAGGGGAGCAGUUUCUGAUUUUAAAUGAAUUCUCCAGGGAGCCUUGCUCUGUGUGGUGCAUGCACGCUUUGCCAUGGACUGAACUCACCGAACGCUGUUCCCGGGGCCCCCCAGGUUUGCUUCCAGCCUGAGGACUUCUCCCAGCCUGAGUGCUUCCCCUG